AAGAGCCGGAUGAAGGGAGACUUUCAAGUCCGGUUCUGUGAGCGCCUGAGGGGGAGGUUCUCUUGGGCGACUCGAC
rfam:Endozoicomonas sp. (ex Bugula neritina AB1) isolate AB1-5 ACH42_contig000188, whole genome shotgun sequence.